rnacentral:rRNA from 1 species
UACGAAGGGGACUAGCGUUGUUCGGAAUCACUGGGCGUAAAGCGCGCGUAGGCGGUUUCGUAAGUCAGGGGUGAAAUCCCGGGGCUCAACCUCGGAACUGCCUUUGAUACUGCGGGUCUUGAGUCCGAUAGAGGUGGGUGGAAUUCCUAGUGUAGAGGUGAAAUUCGUAGAUAUUAGGAAGAACACCGGUGGCGAAGGCGGCCCACUGGAUCGGUACUGACGCUGAGGUGCGAAAGCGUGGGGAGCAAACAGG